rnacentral:tRNA from 1 species
AAUAAGGUGCCUGAAUAAAGGGUUAUUGUGAUAGAAUAAUUCAUGCAAAAUAAAUUGCCCUUAUUA